GGCGCUGUGCCUGGGCAUCACGGCGGCCGCCUGGCAUGCGGUCGGCCGGCAGGCCGAGUUCCGCACCCGCGAGCGCUUC
rnacentral:tRNA from 1 species